CCUACGGGAGGCAGCAGUGAGGAAUAUUGGUCAAUGGGCGAGAGCCUGAACCAGCCAAGUCGCGUGAGGGAGUACUGCCCUAUGGGUUGUAAACCUCUUUUGUCGGGGAGCAAAAGCCGGACGUGUCCGGCUGUGAGAGUACCCGAAGAAAAAGCAUCGGCUAACUCCGUGCCAGCAGCCGCGGUAAUACGGAGGAUGCGAGCGUUAGCCGGAUUUAUUGGGGUUAAAGGGUGCGCAGGCGGAUUUUUAAGUCAGCGGUCAAAUCGUGGGGCUCAACCCCAUCCAGCCGUUGAAACUGGGGAUCUAGAGUGUGCGAGAGGUAUGCGGAAUGCGUGGUGUAGCGGUGAAAUGCAUAGAUAUCACGCAGAACCCCGAUUGCGAAGGCAGCAUACCGGUGCACAACUGACGCUCAGGCACGAAAGCGUGGGUAUCGAACAGGAUUAGAUACCCUUGGAGUC
rnacentral:rRNA from 1 species